rnacentral:rRNA from 1 species
AUUGAACGCUGGCGGCAGGCCUAACACAUGCAAGUCGAGCGGCAGCGGGAAAGUAGCUUGCUACUUUUGCCGGCGAGCGGCGGACGGGUGAGUAAUGCCUGGGAAAUUGCCCAGUCGAGGGGGAUAACAGCUGGAAACGACUGCUAAUAACGCAUACGCCCUACGGGGGAAAGCAGGGGACCUUCGGGCCUUGCGCGAUUGGAUAUGCCCAGGUGGGAUUAGCUAGUUGGUGAGGUAAUGGCUCACCAAGGCGACGAUCCCUAGCUGGUCUGAGAGGAUGAUCAGCCACACUGGAACUGAGACACGGUCCAGACUCCUACGGGAGGCAGCAGUGGGGAAUAUUGCACAAUGGGGGAAACCCUGAUGCAGCCAUGCCGCGUGUGUGAAGAAGGCCUUCGGGUUGUAAAGCACUUUCAGCGAGGAGGAAAGGUUGAUGCCUAAUACGUAUCAACUGUGACGUUACUCGCAGAAGAAGCACCGGCUAACUCCGUGCCAGCAGCCGCGGUAACAC